rnacentral:rRNA from 1 species
CCUACGGGAGGCUGCAGUGGGGAAUAUUGCACAAUGGGCGCAAGCCUGAUGCAGCCAUGCCGCGUGUGUGAAGAAGGCCUUCGGGUUGUAAAGCACUUUCAGCGGGGAGGAAGGCGUUAAGGUUAAUAACCUUGUCGAUUGACGUUACCCGCAGAAGAGGCACCGGCUAACUCCGUGCCAGCAGCCGCGGUAAUACGGAGGGUGCAAGCGUUAAUCGGAAUUACUGGGCGUAAAGCGCACGCAGGCGGUCUGUCAAGUCGGAUGUGAAAUCCCCGGGCUCAACCUGGGAACUGCAUUCGAAACUGGCAGGCUAGAGUCUUGUAGAGGGGGGUAGAAUUCCAGGUGUAGCGGUGAUAUGCGUAGAGAUCUGGAGGAAUACCGGUGGCGAAGGCGGCCCCCUGGACAAAGACUGACACUCAGGUGCGAAAGCGUGGGGAGCAAACAGGAUUAGAUACCCUUGUAGUC